UAAUUAAAACAAAGCAUCGCGAAGGCCCGC
rnacentral:piRNA from 4 species